rnacentral:lncRNA from 1 species
AAUCAUGGUGGUAGGGUUAGGGUUUCGGCGAGCCUCACGGAACUAGGGUUUAGGGUUUGGAAUACCUCCUCGUGUUCGCUUGUUUUCUCUAGAGGCGUGGGUGGCACGAGAGACCUUUGGCGGUCUCCGUUUACAGGUAGGUGUUUAUGAACCGCUGGCAGUUUGGAAUUAUUCUAAAUUUUCAUUUAUAUAAUUUUAAAUAAUAAGUUUAAUUAUAUUUCGAUUUUAUUAUCAAU